rnacentral:rRNA from 1 species
GAUGAACGCUAGCGGCAGGCUUAAUACAUGCAAGUCGAGGGGCAGCGGGAGUAGCAAUACUUGCCGGCGACCGGCGCACGGGUGCGUAACACGUAUGUAAUCUGCCCAUCACAGGAGGAUAGCCCGGAGAAAUUCGGAUUAAUACUCCAUAAUAGAAGAUAAAGCAUUUUAUUUUCUUGAAAGUUCCGACGGUGAUGGAUGAACAUGCGACUGAUUAGUUUGUUGGUGAGGUAACGGCUCACCAAGACUACGAUCAGUAGGGGUACUGAGAGGUUAAACCCCCACACUGGUACUGAGACACGGACCAGACUCCUACGGGAGGCAGCAGUAAGGAAUAUUGGACAAUGGCCGCAAGGCUGAUCCAGCCAUGCCGCGUGCAGGAAGACGGACCUAUGGUUUGUAAACU